rnacentral:rRNA from 1 species
CCUACGGGUGGCAGCAGUGAGGAAUAUUGGUCAAUGGACGAGAGUCUGAACCAGCCAAGUAGCGUGAAUGAUGACUGCCCUAUGGGUUGUAAACUUCUUUUAUAUGGGAAUAAAAUGUUCCACGUGUGGGAUUUUGUAUGUACCAUAUGAAUAAGGAUCGGCUAACUCCGUGCCAGCAGCCGCGGUAAUACGGAGGAUACGAGCGUUAUCCGGAUUUAUUGGGCUUAAAGGGAGCGUAGGUGGAUUGUUAAGUCAGUUGUGAAAGUUUGCGGCUCAACCGUAAAAUUGCAGUUGAUACUGGCAGGCUAGAGUACAGUAGAGGUGGGCGGAAUUCGUGGUGUAGCGGUGAAAUGCUUAGAUAUCACGAAGAACUCCGAUUGCGAAGGCAGUUCACUGGACUGCAACUGACACUGAGGCUCGAAAGUGUGGGUAUCAAACAGGAUUAGAUACCCUUGUAGUC